AUGAACGCUAGCGGCAGGCUUAACACAUGCAAGUCGAGGGGCAGCGGGGAGUAGCAAUACUCUGCCGGCGACCGGCGCAAGGGUGCGUAACGCGUGAGCAACUUGCCCGUGUCAGGGGGAUAACCGGUGGAAAACGCCGACUAAUACCGCAUAACGUAUUGAAAUCGCAUGGUUUUGAUACCAAAGAUUUAUCGCUGUAAGAUGGCCUCGCGUCUGAUUAGAUAGUUGGUGAGGUAACGGCCCACCAAGUCGACGAUCAGUAGCCGGACUGAGAGGUUGAUCGGCCACAUUGGGACUGAGACACGGCCCAGACUCCUACGGGAGGCAGCAGUGGGGGAUAUUGCACAAUGGGCGAAAGCCUGAUGCAGCGACGCCGCGUGAGUGAAGAAGGUCUUCGGAUCGUAAAGCUCUGUUGUCGGGGACGAAUGUACCUUUUGUGAAUAAUGAGAGGUAAUGACGGUACCUGACGAGGAAGCCACGGCUAACUACGUG
rnacentral:rRNA from 1 species